GCGAAACCAUUAAAUUUAGUGUAUAUAGAUAUAGAUUCUUAUAUUGAAGGGUUUUUACCUAUUUUCUUGUUUGUGAUGAAGCUUGGGUGAAACUAAGUGAGGUCCGAACCGACUGAUGUUGAAAAAUCAACGGAUAAGUUGUGGUUAGGGGUGAAAUGCCACUCGAACCUAGAGCUAGUUGGUUCUCCUCGAAAUGCGUUGAGGCAUAGCAGUUGACUGGACAUUUAGGGGUAAAGCCUUGUUUUAGUGCGGGCUGCGAGAGUGGUACCAGAUUAAAGCAAACUCUGAAUACUAGAUAUAACCUCAAAAUAAUGGGGGUCGAGGUCGGCUAGUGAGACGAUGGGAGAUAAGCUUUAUUGUACAGAGGGAAACAACCUGGAUCACCAACUAAGGCCCCUAAAUAAUCGCUAAAUGAUAAAAGUGGUAGGGGUGUAGAGACAACAAUUAGGUUUGUCUAGAAGAAGCCACCCUUGAAAGAGUGCAUAAUAGCUUUCUGAUUGAAUGCUGUUGCGCCGAAGAUGAACGGGGCUAAGCGAUCUACUGAAGCUGUGAGAUGUAAAAAUGUAUCGGUGGGGAGCAUUCUACCUUAGGGGAAAGCACCCGCGCUAGUGGGAGUAGACGAAGCGGAAGCGAGAAUGC
rnacentral:ncRNA from 1 species